UUGCCGGCUGCCCCGGGGGGAGCUGUGGCGGGCCUGCGGGGCUGGUGCUCUCUGGGUGUCUCGGGUUUUGCUUUGGAAUUCCAAACCCUUUCCCCGUGCAGGGUUAUGAGGCAAAGACUGCUUUAACUUGGUUUUUUUGUGCUGCGUUAAUGCUUUUUGCUCGUUCUGUGUCAAUUUCCAGCCUUGCUCGUGGUUUCCCCUGGUGCUGGCAGAGUGGAGGCGAGUUGUGCUUUCUGCUGGGAGAGAGAACGGCCUUGGGAAGCUGCUCCAUGACCCACAGCUGUGCCGAGCCUUGGAGUCUGUCCAGCACCCUUUCUGCUGUUGGGAGAGCACAAGGCAGAUGGAGAGGAUCCCCAGGCAUCUGCAGGCACAAGGGACUCAUACAACUGUGAUUUUCCUACAGCCCUCGUAAAAGGGACUUCCAGGAUACUCUUGGGAAUGUGCCAGCUCUCCUGCUGGAGCUUUUCUAUGGAAUAUUUGAACACAAAGGGUAGAACUAAAGUCAGGUCUGUUCUGGA